UACGUAGGGGGCUAGCGUUGUCCGGAUUUAUUGGGCGUAAAGAGCGUGUAGGCGGCCAGGUAGGUCUGCUGUGAAAACUCGAGGCUCAACCUCGAGACGUCGGCGGAAACCAUCUGGCUAGAGUCCGGAAGAGGAGAGUGGAAUUCCUGGUGUAGCGGUGAAAUGCGCAGAUAUCGAGAGGAACACCUGCGGCGAAGGCGGGUAGCUGGGCCGACACUGACGCUGAGGCGCGAAAGCCAGGGGAGCGAACGGG
rnacentral:rRNA from 1 species